ACUGAGCCUGGUAAAGCGGUGGCAGCAGGUCCUCUCCAGCUGCUCACCUAGCACCUUUGUGGCUCUAGAGGUUUGCUUCCUUAGGUCAGCUUGAUCGGUACAGCAUCACCCACCCCGAGGGAGAGCUAUUGAGAAGGAUGGAAACAUGGGACGUCAGGAGGGAGGGGUCCCAAAGGGAAGGGCCUUGGGAGAGCACCCACCUCUGAAGGGUGGAGUUCCUGAAGAGUAAGUCUCUGGGCCAGAGUCUCUGGAGGGCAAGCUUCUGGGAGUGAGGCUUCUCAGCCUACAAGAAGGCUACAGAGGGGCUGGAGAGAGGAUCCAGAGGUUAAGAGCACUGGCUGCUCUUCCAGAGGAUUCCGGUUCAAAUUCCCAACAGGCACAAGGCAGCUCACAACUGUCUUGUAACUCCAGGGGCCCUGACACUCUUAUCCAUGUAAGCAAAACACCAAUGCACAUAAAAUUUAAAAACAAACAAACAAACAAACAAACAAAAGGCUACAGAACUGGUCCAGCAUAGGGUACAGAGAGCCCAAGAACAAGUUCAGAUUCUGAUCCUUAUGCUUGGAACAGUUGGGGGUCACUGGAGGGCAGCCUGAGGGUGCACUAAAAGGGGAGAGUGUCCUGAGACCACGGGGCAAACCGUAAGCUGCUCACCCUUCACUCUUUCCCUUUCUCCUUCAUCUCAGCUGGUUACUCCCAUUUCCACAACUCUCUAUGUACCUUGGUCCUACCUACAGAUAACCCUCCUGCAGGCUCCUCUUUCUCCCCUCCCCUCCAUGUUCCACAUAGCCGGGCCUCAAGUCAAACCUUGUUCUGGAGCCUGCACAUUGGCUCCCUCAGGCUUGUAUAGCUCAAGUCCUGACUCCUCCUACCAGGAGCUCAGCCAGUCCCCAGCUCUGAGGUCUGGAUACCCACUUGUCUUAUCUAAGAAGACAUCAUCUGGUUCUUGCCUCAGGGUGUGGCUGUCUCUUACAGAGCUGAAGAGACCCUGGACAAACCUGGACAUCAGCUUGGGUAGCCGAGGAGACCAGAAGAUGCCCAUGUGCCAGGUCACCACAUACUCCCAAGGCCCAGUGCUAUGCCAGAAGCCCUGCCAAGUCCAAAGUAACUUGGCCUGUCCAUGUCCCCACCUGGCCCUUGCCCUGAAGGACACAGCUGGCCGACUAGGUGACACAGGGCUGCAGCAGCAGAGUAACCUACAGCUGCCAGUAGGGAGGUCCCAGGGGAGGAUCCGAGAGCCAUUUGUACAGCAGAGUAACCUGUGCUUCCGAGGAACUGCUAGCCCCCAUCUGCAGAACAGCUGCCUGCCACCAGCUGGCCCAUCCUCCCACCAGAAGCAGACAUUCCAGGUCGCAGGCUGCUUAGACUUGAGACUCUCAGAGGACUUGGCACCUCUUGAUGGGUGCACAUGGCCUGGCCCCAGGCCCUGGUGUCGUUCAGGGAGCUGGGCACCCAGGCUUGUGGGGGAGCCUCUCACCUUGGAGGACCUGUCUGUCUCUGACCACAGUCAGUCUCAGGCCUCAACCUCUUUCUCCUGUAGUACUGCCCACUGGCUGCUGGACUCCACCCAACACCUAGAACCUGAAAGCCAGACAUCCUGGGAGCACCUAGGUCUUACCCAGAGAGGACCCCACAACUGUGGUGGCCAGUCAACUCCUGCCCAAUCUUGGCCCAGCCACUCUAGGGAAAGUUUAAGCUUCCUGGAGACUCUGGAGGUCCAAGCUAGAUUUUCUGAGUCCCCUAUAUACAUGCCCCUGUUACAUGAGGCCACUCUGGGAACACUGGCUGGGGAUUUCUCUGACUCAGACCAUGAGGUCCUUUCUUCCCAGUACCUUGGAGCAAGAGAGAGGGGUCCCCCAGGCUUUCUAUUUAACAAAAGGCACAGAGGGCACUUCAGUGUCACACUCGAGGAGAGGAGCAAAGAGACCAGACUUGAAUCUCCAGGCAUCUUCAGCGUCCUGCCUGGGCAGGAAGGAAGAGAGAGGGCCCCAGAGGAAAAAACAGGCAGGGAUGGGGAGAGGAUGGCCUCCUGCCCGUCAAACAUAGCCCCGGCUCAGAGCACCACGCAGAAUGAGGCUCAAAACAUUGUGACCCUGGACUCCCAGACAGCCUGCCGGAAGCUGCUGUCCGAAAGUUUCAGAGUCUGGAGGCGCUUGUCACAGAGGCGUCAGGCAGUGGCUAAGGCCACAGCUAUGAGACACAGGCAGCUGAUUCGAAAGAGCCUCAGAGAGCUGCACUGGGUCCUAUGGCUCCAGAAGACCCGACUGGAGGCAGCUUGGGAGCAACAAGCAAAGGCCCUUCUAGCCCGGAGCUUCCGAGAGUGGAGACAUGUCGCUUUGCGGCAGAAACUGGAGCAACCUCAUACCCAGGCUGUGCCAACGUUCCUUGCUUCUAGGGGAAGCCUUUCCUUGGAAAGAAAAGCAGCCGCAGAUCUUGCCUGGAGAUGCAGGUGCUUCAGGGCCUGGCAACGGUUAGCGCAAAGAGGGGCCCAGUACAGAAGACAUCUGGCCCACCGAAGAGUGAGGACCUUAAGGGCAUGCCUGGGACAGUGGAUGGAGAUGAAGCGGCUCCAGGCCUCAGAUGUCACAAAGGUGACUCAGUUGGCCCUCCACUGGCUGAAGGCAGGGAAUGAGGUUCUCAGCGGCUUAGCCCCAGGAGCUGCCAUGGCCCAUUGCCUGGAGACAGUGACCCACGCCCAACAGCUAUCCAAGGGUCCAGAUCAGUGCUCCCUGUGGGAAAUCUGCCAAAAGUUGGCCCUGUACCGGACCCUGCUGCUCUGGAGGACACGAUUCUACCAGCGCCAGCAAACUGGAGUCCCAGAGGUCGGGAUGCAGUUAGCGGCCCAGGCUUAUGUCCAACAAACUGCUAUCACCCAAUGCUGGCAGCGGCUUCGGGGUCUCCUUAGGACCCACCGGGUUCAGUCUCAGUCAACUCUGUUCAAACAGAAGCUGGAGCCACAGACCCAGGCACAGGGCAUGGACUUAGGACACUGGCUUAGGCUGGCCAGCAGAGGGCAUCUCCUGCUACUGACGGACACCACAUACUUUUGGAUGCGUGUGUCACAGAGAGACCCCUCUGCCCAGCCCUCGAGUUCUGGCUGCCACUGCCUGCACGGGCCCUCCACUGGCCCCCUACAGGAAUAGGUGAGCCCUGCAGCUCUGAGACUAGGGCCCUGAAGGGCCAAGGCCAGGCUCCUCAAAGGUGGACCAGCUGUGCAUGGGAGGGGUGGUCAGUCCCUUCAGGCAAGGGAUUUUUCAACUCUGGCAGAAUGGCCGAGCCUGGGCCUCUUGUUCUUUGCUGUUGAAGAGGUUAGAUGUUCUUGGCCUGCAGGGACAGGUACCUAUAGUGUUGGCAUAGUCAGGUUUCCCAGCAGGCCUGGAGCCUGGCAAGGGCAUGGCAGCGCUGGGUAGAUGUUCACUGGGUGGAGCAGCUGUCUUGGGCUCUGGUAGGGAGGCUCAGCUCCUCUGUACCAAGCAGAGGCCCUGGGAACAACUCCCCACUCAUCCUAUGUAUCCCUUGGCUAGCUGGAGGCACUAACUACUAAUUGCACCUCAUGCCCAAAGCCUUAGGGAUGGGCUCAGGUGUGAUCACUUAUUAACAUUUCUUAGGUGAUGGCCCCUUGUCACAUCUCCUUCACCCUGGGGUGGCAGCAGAAGGGCCAGGGCUGACAGGAUGGCAGAGGAUCUUUUCUAUCAACUCUCUCUGUAGCUCAGACAAUGGCACCUGGAACAGGCGUGGAGGACAUGGCAGAAAAAGGUCCUUCAGCUCCGGGUGGCUCAACAGCUACACCAGAGAGAAGAGAGCCGGGUCCUUUUCCAGGUGACUUUACCUUGGUUCACCCAGCCAGCCCUCCAAGACCAGUGCCACCUCCAGGCUGAGCCAGGGAGAGGGGAGGGUGUCCCUGCUCACCACCCUGCGCUAUCCUCAUUCAGUUGAAUUGGCCAUUGGUUACAGAGCACACAGCCUGGACAUUAGAGCCCUUGACUAGGGGCCUCAAGCCCAGCCAAGUAUCAGUUUCACUCACUCAGAGAACCAGUCUGUUUGUGGCAGUGGCUCCCCAUGCUGGUCCUUGCAGGGCCUGCGUCCAGAACAGAUGUCUUGUUUGCAGGUCACGGGGCAUAGCUUCCCGGGUCACAAGUCCAGUCUAUUCUGAGCCUAGAUAUUUGGGCAGAGACAGGGUGGGCUGGCUGCCAGGGCAAAGGAAAGGGCCUCUGGUUGAGACACACAGAACAUGGCUUAGGUGUCAAGUCUGACAGGCCCAGUACAGACCCUGGAGGGAGCCUGAGACAAGCAGUACUUCCUGCCCUGCCUCCAAGCCUUUGAAAAGUGGCACCAGCGUUUGGUAGCCAAGAGCCCAUGAGAAGAACUAGCAGCAGCCUGUGCUCCUGGAAACAGUUUACAGUGGCUCAGGUGUAGCAGGCAUGGGGUGAGUAGGGGCCAGCAGCAGCUAUGAAAUAUUCCUGAGAAAUAAGAGAACCAAGCCCAGCCUUCCGAGGGAGGGAACAGGCCCACAGUUGGAGGGGCCAGCGCCUGGAGCUCUGGGACAAUAAAAGGACCUCCUCCUCCUGGCUGCUUCUGCUCAUUCUCUCCAAGGCUGCUCUCCACUGCAGUCACCCAGGCCUGGGAGACGAGGGCAGGAACCCCCUGCUCUCCCUAAGUUGCUCUACGGACCGCUUUCUCCCAUUCCCUGACUCAAACAAGACCAGCAGGCUGGGAGCAGUCAUCUGUGCCUGCCAGUCACUGCCCCAGGCAGCCAGGCCUGAGGGCUGACUGGGGAGGAGUGCCAGGGACAGCCCCUAGUCUAGGCCCAACAGAGAAGACGGUGCAGCUGGCAGGAGUCUGCUCAGAAGCAAGGGAGCAGGCUUCAUACAGCCACGGGAAGAGCUGGGCCCUGCCCAGGUAAAUCUCGCUAAGAGGACAGAAAACAAGGCCAAGAGCAAGCCUCCAUUGAGGACAGAACGCUUUUAACCCUGAAGGGGCACUUUCUUCCCAGCCACAGAACAGACACAACCAACCUUCUGCAGAGGCAGAACUCCUGCACUCUUUGGCCUAAGAUGGCAAGAAAGGCUUGUGUUACCAGCCAGGCCUCUCUUGGGGACCUGGUGUGUAGUCCGCUGAGCAGGGAGGAGGUUUCUGUACCCUCAUUUGCACAUCUCUUCCUACCUCCUUCAGUAUUUCACAGUGCCUACUGUCUGUCUCACACAGACCCCAGGUCAAAGUUCACCUCCUAGAGGCUGCCUUGGUGCAGUGGCUGGGCAAUCUCUGGUCUCCUCCCCCUGAGGAUGGAGGCGCUUGCCACA